rnacentral:rRNA from 1 species
GGGACACGUGGUAUCCUGUCUGAAUAUGGGGGGACCAUCCUCCAAGGCUAAAUACUCCUGACUGACCGAUAGUGAACCAGUACCGUGAGGGAAAGGCGAAAAGAACCCCGGCGAGGGGAGUGAAAAAGAACCUGAAACCGUGUACGUACAAGCAGUGGGAGCACGCUUAGGCGUGUGACUGCGUACCUUUUGUAUAAUGGGUCAGCGACUUAUAUUCUGUAGCAAGGUUAACCGAAUAGGGGAGCCGAAGGGAAACCGAGUCUUAACUGGGCGUUAAGUUGCAGGGUAUAGACCCGAAACCCGGUGAUCUAGCCAUGGGCAGGUUGAAGGUUGGGUAACACUAACUGGAGGACCGAACCGACUAAUGUUGAAAAAUUAGCGGAUGACUUGUGGCUGGGGGUGAAAGGCCAAUCAAACCGGGAGAUAGCUGGUUCUCCCCGAAAGCUAUUUAGGUAGCGCCUCGUGAAUUCAUCUCCGGGGGUAGAGCACUGUUUCGGCAAGGGGGUCAUCCCGACUUACCAACCCGAUGCAAACUGCGAAUACCGGAGAAUGUUAUCACGGGAGACACACGGCGGGUGCUAACGUCCGUCGUGAAGAGGGAAACAACCCAGACCGCCAGCUAAGGUCCCAAAGUCAUGGUUAAGUGGGAAACGAUGUGGGAAGGCCCAGACAGCCAGGAUGUUGGCUUAGAAGCAGCCAUCAUUUAAAGAAAGCGUAAUAGCUCACUGGUCGAGUCGGCCUGCGCGGAAGAUGUAACGGGGCUAAACCAUGCACCGAAGCUGCGGCAGCGACGCUUAUGCGUUGUUGGGUAGGGGAGCGUUCUGUAAGCCUGUGAAGGUGUGCUGUGAGGCAUGCUGGAGGUAUCAGAAGUGCGAAUGCUGACAUAAGUAACGAUAAAGCGGGUGAAAAGCCCGCUCGCCGGAAGACCAAGGGUUCCUGUCCAACGUUAAUCGGGGCAGGGUGAGUCGACCCCUAAGGCGAGGCCGAAAGGCGUAGUCGAUGGGAAACAGGUUAAUAUUCCUGUACUUGGUGUUACUGCGAAGGGGGGACGGAGAAGGCUAUGUUGGCCGGGCGACGGUUGUCCCGGUUUAAGCGUGUAGGCUGGUUUUCCAGGCAAAUCCGGAAAAUCAAGGCUGAGGCGUGAUGACGAGGCACUACGGUGCUGAAGCAACAAAUGCCCUGCUUCCAGGAAAAGCCUCUAAGCAUCAGGUAACAUCAAAUCGUACCCCAAACCGACACAGGUGGUCAGGUAGAGAAUACCAAGGCGCUUGAGAGAACUCGGGUGAAGGAACUAGGCAAAAUGGUGCCGUAACUUCGGGAGAA